AUCCGCGGGCGCCCAGGAGCCCGGAGACGGUCGGAGAGGGCAGCGGGUUCCUACCGAGACCGAGCACCUUGAACAUAAAAGGAAUUCAAUGAAUGUCUACUGAAUGGAUGGAUUCCUUCCAUGAAGAAAGGAGCCAAGAGAAUGACUAAUGAAGGUAAUUAGCCAGAAAGAAAGCCAUGUAGAGAGUUGAAAUCUUCUAUGAAGAAAGAAAGAAGGAGAGAAGAGGCCCCAGAUCCAAGGCCUAAAGAAGAUGGACGUUUAGAAUUUUGGAGGAAAGACCAACAAAAAGAGCGAGAAGC